rnacentral:rRNA from 1 species
GAGUUUGAUCCUGGCUCAGAUUGAACGCUGGCGGCAGGCCUAACACAUGCAAGUCGAACGGUAACAGGAAGAAGCUUGCUUCUUUGCUGACGAGUGGCGGACGGGUGAGUAAUGUCUGGGAAACUGCCUGAUGGAGGGGGAUAACUACUGGAAACGGUAGCUAAUACCGCAUAACGUCGCAAGACCAAAGAGGGGGACCUUCGGGCCUCUUGCCAUCGGAUGUGCCCAGAUGGGAUUAGCUAGUAGGUGGGGUAACGGCUCACCUAGGCGACGAUCCCUAGCUGGUCUGAGAGGAUGACCAGCCACACUGGAACUGAGACACGGUCCAGACUCCUACGGGAGGCAGCAGUGGGGAAUAUUGCACAAUGGGCGCAAGCCUGAUGCAGCCAUGCCGCGUGUAUGAAGAAGGCCUUCGGGUUGUAAAGUACUUUCAGCGGGGAGGAAGGGAGUAAAGUUAAUACCUUUGCUCAUUGACGUUACCCGCAGAAGAAGCACCGGCUAACUCCGUGCCAGCAGCCGCGGUA